rnacentral:rRNA from 1 species
AGCGAACGCUGGCGGCAGGCUUAACACAUGCAAGUCGAGCGGGCCCUUCGGGGUCAGCGGCGGACGGGUGAGUAACGCGUGGGAACGUGCCUUCUGGUCUGGAAUAACCCUGGGAAACUAGGGUUAAUACCGGAUACGCCCUUUUGGGGAAAGGUUUACUGCCGGAAGAUCGGCCCGCGUCUGAUUAGCUAGUUGGUGGGGUAACGGCCUACCAAGGCGACGAUCAGUAGCUGGUCUGAGAGGAUGAUCAGCCACACUGGGACUGAGACACGGCCCAGACUCCUACGGGAGGGAGCAGUGGGGAAUAUUGGACAAUGGGCGCAAGCCUUAUCCAGCCAUGCCGCGUGAGUGAUGAAGGCCUUAGGGUUGUAAAGCUCUUUUAUCCGGGACGAUAAUGACGGUACCGGAGGAAUAAGCCCCGGCUAACUUCGUG